CUGCUGUUUCUGCGCGACCUGUGCUGAGGGAAGGAGCCGAGCGUGUGUUUACGUUGUGCCAAGUCUGCGUAUUCCUCUCGCGUCUCCGUCCAAUUACAAGGAAAGACUCUGCAGAGCUCCUGCUGAUUGGACACAGAGCAGGAGGAGUUGUGCGGGUGUCAGUCGAGCUCGUCUGCGCAAAGUUAUUGUUGCAUAGAAUAAAGUAACAAAUAUCGCAUCAGCCACACUUCGACCCUACCUCUUCUACCUCUACUACUACUACUACUAUUAUUAUUAUUAUUAUUAUUAUUAUUAUUAUUAUUAUUAUUAUUGUUAUUAUUGUUAUUAUUGCUGCUGUUGUUUUGUUGUUGUUGUCUUAUACAAAAUAAAUACUAGAUGUUAGUGAUUGCUGCUCCCCGUGAUGCCUUUUUGAAAGCAGCGGAGCUGCAGGGUCAAUUUUGGAUACAUGGAGCCUUUAUACGCCUCUCGCAUCCUAAUGCGCUCUUCUUUUCAUAUGUUAAAGGAAAUGUGGCAGUGGCGUGACGCGCCGCACUGCUGAGUCCUGAAGGUGCACAAAACCAUCUAACAGUUAGAUUUUAGUUUCGGUCCUCCAAAAAUUCAUCCCAACAGCUCCAAAACAACACAAGCUAGUUGUGCGGGGAUGUUUCCACGGGUGAGUUUAUGGAUGACCUGUUAAAUAAACGCGUUGGGCGGAAUUUUGAAACCACGGAGUUUGCCCGAUCUGAAGGCCCCUAGAAAGGAAAGUAUCGACUUGGACGCCUGGAGGUUUUGGACCGGAGGGGAGAGCCAGGUGCAGCCAAAUAAAUGUGCAAAUGUAUGUUUUUCUGUGGAAUCGACUUGGCUCAUAACCAAAAGCCCGUCUUCACAGACAGACGGGGAGGAGGGCAGAGGUCAGCAUGGAGGACAGCGAAGACACAAAGUCUCAAAACGAUGGAAAUGAAAGGACGCAGGCAGGCAAAGUGUGAAGAAAAAAUCACCACUAUUAAUCUCAUCUUCUGAUUUUCAGAGAUGAAAUGAUGGUGGGAUGGUGAAAGAACAGACACGGGUUCCACGUCAGCCACAAACAAUGAAGCACAUUAUAAGGGCAGUCUAGAUUACAAUUCAAACAUAUGAAUACAUAAAUGAAUAUACGGACAUAUUCCUGUAUCAUCUGCAUGGAGAUACAUUAUUCACCGCUUUCCUCUGUUCCCCGACAUCCAGGCCGGGAUAUCAUUAUACUUCAAUUAAUACAAAGUCUCCUCUUACCACUGCAGAACCACACACUUCGCAUAAGAUUUUAC
rnacentral:lncRNA from 1 species